rnacentral:lncRNA from 1 species
CCAAGUGCUGGGACUAAAGAUACGCACUACCACCACCUGGCUGGAAAUGCUUUAUUUUAAAACAGUCUUUUAUUUCCAUAGGUUGACACCUCCACUGGCAGCCCACCCCCUCGAUUCUACCUCCAUUGCAAACAUUGCUGAGGAACCAACCAACUUAUACCUCUUCUGGUUGGACUGGGACCAUGCCUGCAUAGCCAGCACCACCCACCGGGAUUGUCACACAGCAUGAAAUCUGUUUGUUGUCCCUGCUAAGCAAAAGAGGGAGAAAUGUCUGGUUUCUUUCUUGUGCACUGCAUGGUUGCUCUGUUUUGCACAUGGCUGAGUCAGUGUAUUGGAAUGAAAACACUGUAAUGAUGAAGCUGUUGGUACUAAGUAUGACAUUCGUGUGUCCACCUUUAGGAAACAUAGAGAACCGAAACUUUCACCAUGAAGAUGGAUCACUGGAAUUGUUUACACACAAAACGUCUGGUCUUUCUCUACACUGGGACCACUCAGAAUUGACACCAUGGCCUCCAAGCUAAAGAGCCUUUGGGAAAUUGACUGUCUUCGGAUGUGUGGACAAGAAGAUAUCCUGUGGUUAGACUCCAUGUUCCCAUGAACAUGGUAAAGUGCCUGUCAUCUAGAACCUAGUUCCAUGGGACAGUAUGAUGAAGAACAUGUGUGUAGUAUAGUUCAACACACAAAGAAUCAACACUUGAGAAUCUGUUUAACCUGCAGAAUUAAAAUCUAAGGACACGUAAAGCUUUUAUUUGGCCGAUUUAAAAAUAUUUGGAGAUCAGAGAAAAAUUGCAGAGGGAAAAAAGAGAAAUGGAAUCUGUUUUUUUUUUUCUGAAAACUUAAUUUUUUGUUUUGUUUUUGUGGAGACAGAGUUUGUCUGUGUAACAGCCUUGGCUGUCCUGAAAUGGCUCUGUAGUCCUGGUUGGCCUUGAACUCACAGAGAUCUGCCUGCCUCUGUCUUCCAAGUGCUGGGAUUAAAGGCAUGUACCACCACCGCCCAGCUGAAAACUUAAUUUUUUAUCACUUAGGUACAAACAGGGAAAGUUAGAAACGGGACUUAAGAAAAAGUGGGUACACAUCGGAGAUGAAUGAGCUUCACAAGGGUGAAGCUGCUUCUAGGACCAUUUUGAGGCACUGGAGAUUAUUUACAGACAUUUAGAAGUUUUUUUUGGUUAGAUGCACAAUUCGUUCAUAUCCUUCAGUGCAGUAAAAUCACAGACAAGAAGGUUAUCUUUGCAUUUGGACAGACGGAAUAAAUAUCCAUACUAACAGGCA